GACGAACGCUGGCGGCGUGCUUAACACAUGCAAGUCGAACGGAAAGGCCCUGCUUUUGUGGGGUGCUCGAGUGGCGAACGGGUGAGUAACACGUGAGUAACCUGCCCUUGACUUUGGUAUAACUUCAGGAAACUGGGGCUAAUACCGGAUAGGAGCUCCUGCUGCAUGGUGGGGGUUGGAAAGUUUCGGCGGUUGGGGAUGGACUCGCGGCUUAUCAGCUUGUUGGUGGGGUAGUGGCUUACCAAGGCUUUGACGGGUAGCCGGCCUGAGAGGGUGACCGGCCACAUUGGGACUGAGAGACGGACCAGACUCCUACGGGAGGCAGCAGGGGGGAAUAUUGCACAAUGGGCGGAAGCCUGAUGAAGCAACGCCGCGUGCGGGAUGACGGCCUGCGGGUUGUAAACCGCUUUCGCCUGUGACGAAGCGGGAGUGACGGUAAUGGGUAAAGAAGCACCGGCUAACUACGUG
rnacentral:rRNA from 1 species